UGUUAGGCAAAUCCGGCACUCUUAAGAUUGAGCUGUGAUGGGGAGAGGAACUUGUUCCUCGAGUCGUUGAUUUCACACUGCCGAGAAAAGCCUCUAGCUAGAAUAACGGUGCCCGUACCGCAAACCGACACAGGUAGUCAAGAUGAGAAUUCUAAGGUGAGCGAGCGAACUCUCGUUAAGGAACUCGGCAAAAUGACCCCGUAACUUCGGGAGAAGGGGUGCUCUUUGAGGUUCACGCUUCGAAGAGCCGCAGUGAAUAGGCCCAAGCGACUGUUUAUCAAAAACACAGGUCUCUGCUAAACCGUAAGGUGACGUAUAGGGGCUGACGCCUGCCCGGUGCUGGAAGGUUAAGAGGAGUGGUUAGCGCAAGCGAAGCUACGAAUCGAAGCCCCAGUAAACGGCGGCCGUAACUAUAACGGUCCUAAGGUAGCGAAAUUCCUUGUCGGGUAAGUUCCGACCCGCACGAAAGGCGUAACGAUUUGGGCACUGUCUCAACGAGAGACUCGGUGAAAUCAUAGUACCGGUGAAGAUGCCGGUUACCCGCGACAGGACGGAAAGACCCCGUGGAGCUUUACUGUAGCCUGAUAUUGAAAUUCGGUACAGUUUGUACAGGAUAGGUAGGAGCCUUAGAAGCGUGAGCGCUAGCUUACGUGGAGGCAUUGGUGGGAUACUACCCUAAUUGUAUUGGAUUUCUAACCCGCAGCACUUAUCGUGCUGGGAGACAGUGUCAGGCGGGCAGUUUGACUGGGGCGGUCGCCUCCUAAAGAGUAACGGAGGCGCUCAAAGGUUCCCUCAGAAUGGUUGGAAAUCAUUCAUAGAGUGUAAAGGCAUAAGGGAGCUUGACUGCGAGACCUACAAGUCGAGCAGGGUCGAAAGACGGACUUAGUGAUCCGGUGGUUCCGCAUGGAAGGGCCAUCGCUCAACGGAUAAAAGCUACCCCGGGGAUAACAGGCUUAUCUCCCCCAAGAGUUCACAUCGACGGGGAGGUUUGGCACCUCGAUGUCGGCUCAUCGCAUCCUGGGGCUGUAGUCGGUCCCAAGGGUUGGGCUGUUCGCCCAUUAAAGCGGUACGCGAGCUGGGUUCAGAACGUCGUGAGACAGUUCGGUCCCUAUCCGUCGUGGGCGUAGGAAAUUUGAGAGGAGCUGUCCUUAGUACGAGAGGACCGGGAUGGACAUACCUCUGGUGUACCAGUUGUCGUGCCAACGGCAUAGCUGGGUAGCUAUGUAUGGACGGGAUAAGUGCUGAAAGCAUCUAAGCAUGAAGCCCCCCUCGAGAUGAGAUUUCCCAACUUCGGUUAUAAGAUCCCUCAAAGAUGAUGAGGUGAAUAGGUUCGAGGUGGAAGCGUAGCGAUACGUGGAGCUGACGAAUACUA
rnacentral:rRNA from 1 species